rfam:Gossypium arboreum cultivar AKA8401 contig_3739_5, whole genome shotgun sequence.
AACCCAUGGUGAGGGCACCUUCUCAGUAACUCCUUGUAUCUUUCCCAUGCAUCGUAAUGUGUUUCUAAAUCCAUCUGCACAAAAGAAGAGAUAUCAUUACUUAAUUU